AACGAACGCUGGCGGCGUGGAUAAGACAUGCAAGUCGAACGGGAUUACUUCUGUAGCAAUACAGAAGUAAUUUAGUGGCGAACGGGUGCGUAACACGUGGGGAAUCUGCCGAGAAGUGGG
rnacentral:rRNA from 1 species